rnacentral:rRNA from 1 species
AUUGAACGCUGGCGGCAUGCCUUACACAUGCAAGUCGAACGGUAGCGCGGGGUAACCUGGCGACGAGUGGCGAACGGGUGAGUAAUGCAUCGGAACGUGCCCUGGAAUGGGGGAUAACGUAGCGAAAGUUACGCUAAUACCGCAUAUUCUGUGAGCAGGAAAGCAGGGGAUCGCAAGACCUUGCGUUCUGGGAGCGGCCGAUGUCGGAUUAGCUAGUUGGUGGGGUAAUGGCCUACCAAGGCGACGAUCCGUAGCGGGUCUGAGAGGAUGAUCCGCCACACUGGGACUGAGACACGGCCCAGACUCCUACGGGAGGCAG